rnacentral:rRNA from 1 species
UACGUAGGGGGCAAGCGUUGUCCGGAAUUAUUGGGCGUAAAGAGCGUGUAGGCGGCCAGAUAAGUCCGCUGUGAAAUCUCGAGGCUCAACUUCGAGCUGUCGGUGGAAACUAUCUGGCUAGAGUCCGGAAGAGGAGAAUGGAAUUCCUGGUGUAGCGGUGAAAUGCGCAGAUAUCAGGAAGAACACCCGUAGCGAAGGCGGUUCUCUGGGACGGUACUGACGCUGAGACGCGAAAGCGUGGGGAGCGAACAGG